UUUUUGGCGGAGACGAACUAACUAGGAUUCCCUCAGUAGCUGCGAGCGAACAGGGAAGAGCCCAGCACCGAAUCCCGCGGCCGAUACCGGGCGCCGGGAAAUGUGGUGUUAGGGAGGAUCCGUUUAUCCCGAGGUUGUGCGGUGCGUCCAAGUCCUUCUUGAACGGGGCCACAGCCCAUAGAGGGUGCCAGGCCCGUAGCGACCGCUGCCGAUCGCGGGAGGAUCUCUCCUCAGAGUCGGGUUGCUUGAGAGUGCAGCCCUAAGUGGGUGGUAAACUCCAUCUAAGGCUAAAUAUGACCACGAGACCGAUAGCGAACAAGUACCGUGAGGGAAAGUUGAAAAGCACUUUGAAGAGAGAGUUCAAGAGUACGUGAAACCGUUCAGGGGUAAACCUGAGAAACCCGAAAGGUCGAAAGGGGAAAUUCAUUCGCGUCUCGACCGUCGGAGUGGGGCGAUCGAGUGACGGACGGCGUACGCGUCGUCCGCGCCUUUCGUUCUAUUAUUCGGCGUCGAACGCGUGCACUUUUCCCCUAGUAGGACGUCGCGAUCCGUUGGGUGUCGGUCUAAGGCUCUCGUGGUGGAGCCCGGGCGUACGUCUUCGGGCGUUUGCGCUCGGACCCGCGGUGUCCCGGCCGACCCGCUCGACGGUAUACAGAUGGCGCGGGGCCGCUACUUUAGUUAGCGUUCGGCCCGCGGCAAGCGCGUACGGUGUUGGCGGCGAUCGGACCUAGCGCCGAUCCCGUCCCCGGACGACUGUUGGCUGCGGUGUUCUCGAACAGACCCUGGAUUUGAAACGCCGAUCUGCGACGCUAUAGCUUUGGGUACUUUCAGGACCCGUCUUGACCGCCCAA
rnacentral:rRNA from 1 species